ACGAGGAAGUUCGAGUAAAGCGAAAGACGAAAGACGGAGAAUUCGUGAACUCAAUCAGUGAAUUGAAAAUCAUAGUAUAGUCGAUUUAAGCAUAUGACUUGUAAUAUUGAGGAGAAAUCAUUCUGGGUUGAACUGGGAGCCGAUUUAGUCAAGUGUGAUGGUGUCACUGGAAAUGUUCAACGCCUUCAUCUCAAAGGAGAUUACUUCUAUGACUACUUAGUUGGUAAAAAGGUGAGCUCCUCUUUGGCAGAGUUGAGGCAUCUCAAAUACCUCGACUUGAGUGGGAAUCGUUUUUUUUUUUUUUUUUUUUUUUUUGAAGGAAGUCAUAUACCAGAGUUCAUUGGAUCCUUGAAACACCGGAGCUACCUCAAUCUCUCUUAUGCUGGUUUUGGUGGCAGAUGAUAUGGCGUGGGCCUUUAGCCUUUCGUCACUCCAGCUUCUCUACUUGAGUGCAGUGGAUCUUAGUCGAGCACAGAACUGGGACAUGGUGCUUCACAUGAUUCCCUCGUUAAAAUACCUCCAUCUUCGCUACAAUUCUUGUAAAGGUGGGAGUUUGUGCAUGAACAAUUCUUACCAAAGAAGAGGUAGAUUUUAGAACAUUUAGUCGAAUAUAUUUCCUCAAAUAUCCUUGGACAUUUCCUUAGUGAAAACAUACCAUAACAUAUUGUAUUGCUUGAGUUUUUUUAUUUGCAUCACCUAUUUUUUUUUUGGUUUGACCAAGAUAGUUGUGUUAUUACUAGUUAUUUCCUCGGGUGUUCAAGCCCUUGAUAUGUAUUUGAGCAAUUUCUUGAUGUUCCUUGUCAAUUUGCACAGAUAUCAAUGAUGAAUAUUUGAUUGAAAGCUUGUUUUA